rnacentral:rRNA from 1 species
UACGUAGGGGGCAAGCGUUGCUCGGAAUCACUGGGUUUAAAGGGUGCGUAGGUGGCUUUGUAAGUCAGUGGUGAAAGCCCGGAGCUCAACUCCGGAACUGCCAUUGAUACUGCUUAGCUUGAAUCACGUCGAGGUGGAUGGAAUAAUACAUGUAGCGGUGAAAUGCUUAGAUAUGUAUUAGAACACCGAUUGCGAAGGCAGUUCACUAGGCGUGUAUUGACACUGAGGCACGAAAGCGUGGGGAUCAAACAGG